rnacentral:misc_RNA from 1 species
UUUGCUUGCUUGCCUUUGGCAAAGCGGGGUGUGGUUCGUUUGANAGCGUUGUGUCCUGCAGACGUGAGUGCGUGUGAGUGGUUAUCGGGAUGGUUGUGCUGUUCGGCUCCUUGCCCAUGGUUUUGGAACUUGCAGCAUGCAACCCUUCUCAUGUGUGCCUUGUGCCGGUGGGCCUUGGUGUUCACUGGUGGUUCCUGUGUUGCGUACCCAUCUAGCGGUAUUCGUGUGCCGCGAAGACCGGUUCCUCCCACACCCCCUCGUGGAGGGUGAUUGGGGAUUUCUAAUUUGAUGCGUGUUUGGCGUUAGUUGUGCGUUGUAACGGCUCACGUGGCCACACGUGUCUAUUGUUCCCUUGGAUGCGGUGCAUGCGAUGAACGUGGCCUGGUGUUUGUGCCCCGUUUAGUCCCUAUGACAUAUCGGUUGCCUUUGAAAGGAAGACACUUUGCCGUAGUGCCGGUCUUGCUAUCCCAUUGGUGGUGGCAACACUUGCACGUCGUGCAUAGUCGUCAAUGGAUGCUACCUGGUUGAUC